GCUAAUACCGCAUAAUGCCUACGGGCCAAAGAGGGGGACCUUCGGGCCUCUCGCGUCAAGAUAUGCCUAGGUGGGAUUAGCUAGUUGGUGAGGUAAUGGCUCACCAAGGCGACGAUCCCUAGCUGGUCUGAGAGGAUGAUCAGCCACACUGGAACUGAGACACGGUCCAGACUCCUACGGGAGGCAGCAGUGGGGAAUAUUGCACAAUGGGCGAAAGCCUGAUGCAGCCAUGCCGCGUGUAUGAAGAAGGCCUUCGGGUUGUAAAGUACUUUCAGUUGUGAGGAAGGGGGUGUCGUUAAUAGCGGCAUCUCUUGACGUUAGCAACAGAAGAAGCACCGGCUAACUCCGUGCCAGCAGCCGCGGUAAUACGGAGGGUGCGAGCGUUAAUCGGAAUUACUGGGCGUAAAGCGCAUGCAGGUGGUUCAUUAAGUCAGAUGUGAAAGCCCGGGGCUCAACCUCGGAACUGCAUUUGAAACUGGUGAACUAGAGUACUGUAGAGGGGGGUAGAAUUUCAGGUGUAGCGGUGAAAUGCGUCGAGAUCUGAAGGAAUACCAGUGGCGAAGGCGGCCCCCUGGA
rnacentral:rRNA from 1 species